CUACGGAGGGUCCGAGCGUUAAUCGGAAUUACUGGGCGUAGAGCGUACGUAGGUGGCUUGAUUAGUCGGAUGUGAAAGCCCUGGGCUCAACCUGGGAACUGCAUUCGAUACUGUCAGGCUAGAGUAUAUUAGAGGGAAGUGGAAUUCCGGGUGUAGCGGUGAAAUGCGUAGAUAUCCGGAGGAACACCAGUGGCGAAGGCGGCUUUCUGGACUAAAACUGACACUGAGGCUCGAAAGCGUGGGGAGCAAACAGGAUUAGAAACCCUAGUAGUCC
rnacentral:rRNA from 1 species